UUUACGGGUUCUCGUGUCUAACAUUUGACCAUCCGUUUUAUUUAUUUUUUUAUAAUUAAUAAUUUCAUUCUUAUUUGAUGAUAAAACAUAACUAUUACUUUAUGUAUAACUUAUUUUUUAAUAAACUUUUUAAAUAAGGUAGAUGGUCAAACGUUUGAAAAAAAAGCACUUAAG
rfam:Oryza rufipogon genomic scaffold, chr06